AGGAGCCGGAUGAGUCGAGAGGCUCCCGUCCGGUUCUGAGAGGGGCCGGAGGUGAAAUCCCUCCGGCCUACUCACC
rnacentral:ncRNA from 1 species